AUUGAACGCUGGCGGCAGGCCUAACACAUGCCAGUCGAGCGGAUGAAGGGAGCUUGCUCCUGGAUUCAGCGGCGGACGGGUGAGUAAUGCCUAGGAAUCUGCCUGGUAGUGGGGGAUAACGUCCGGAAACGGGCGCUAAUACCGCAUACGUCCUGAGGGAGAAAGUGGGGGAUCUUCGGACCUCACGCUAUCAGAUUAGCCUAGGUCGGAUUAGCUAGUUGGUGGGGUAAAGGCCUACCAAGGCGACGAUCCGUAACUGGUCUGAGAGGAUGAUCAGUCAGCUGGGAACAGAGAAACAGCACACACACUGAGGGUAGGAAGCAGCGGGGAAUAUUGGGCGAGGGGGGAAAGCCUGAUCCAGCACAGCCGGGGGUGUGAAGAAGGUCUUAGGAUUGUAAAGUAAUUUAAGUUUGGAGGAAGGGAAGUAAGUUAAUACCGUGCGGUAUUGACGUUACCAACAGAAUAAGCACCGGCUAACUUCGUG
rnacentral:rRNA from 1 species